UCGGAUAAAAAGGUUGGUUUUGCCGAGAUCUUGCUGUCUCCCCGAUAAAACUAAUUUAAGUCGCUCUUCUGAUUUCUGAAACUUACUCCAUACAUGAUCGGCGACAACAUCCUUCUCAGUACUCACUACUCAGGUCAGAUUUCAAUUCUCCCUUCUAUUUGUCUCUCUUCAUUAAUAUCCUUUGACUUUGUUCCAUGGCAAUAAAGCUUCCAUCUUCGGCACACCCUACUCGAUUCCUCAGAUGGGUUUAUCUCUCUUCAAGCUGUAUUGCAGAUAUUUCAGAAACCCCUGGAAUUCUUAAGCCCAAGGAUUCAUCUGAAUUCGACCAAAACCUCAACUUUUUGAAAAAUAAGCUUGCCCCAGAUAACUUAAUCCGGGUUCUGGACCGUACAAGCGAUUUGAACUCGGCAGUGAGGAUAUUCAAAUGGGCUUCAAGGCAGAAGAGUUUUCACCACACUUCCAACACUUAUUUCAGGAUAAUUUUGAAACUGGGUAUGGCCGGGAAAGUUUUGGAAAUGAGGGAUUUUUGUGAAUACAUGGUUAAGGAUAGGUGCCCGGGUGCUGAAGAAGCUCUUGUGGCAUUGGUUCAUACAUUUGUGGGGCAUCGUAGGAUUAAAGAAGCUAUUGUAGUCUUAGUGAAUAUGAAUUUGGGUGGUUAUAGGCCCCCAAUUGAAGUUUUUAAUGUUUUAUUGGGUGCUCUUGUGGGAGGAGAGAGUAGAGAUUUUCAAAGUGCCUUGUUUGUUUAUAAAGAGAUGGUGAAGGCAUGUGUGUUACCUACAGUUGACAUUUUGAAUUAUUUGUUGGAGGUUUUGUUCGCCACCAAUCGGAAUGAGUUGGCUUUACAUCAAUUUAGAAGAAUGAACAAUAAAGGGUGCGAUUCAAAUAGUAAGACCUUUGAGAUUCUUGUAAAGGGUCUCAUUGAAAGUGGUCGAGUGGAUGAAGCUGCUACUGUUUUAGAGCAAAUGCUCAAACACAAAUGUUAACCUGAUUUGGGUUUUUAUACUUGUAUUAUACCUCUCUUUUGCAGAGAAAAUAAAGUAGAGGAGGCUGUGAAGUUGUUUAAAAUGAUGAAGGAUUCCGAUUUUGUACCCGAUUCUUUCAUUUAUGAGGUUCUAUUACGGUGCUUUUGCAACCACUUGCAGUUGGAUUCUGCUGUAAGCCUCAUAAAUGAGAUGAUAUAAAUUGAUUGCUCGAAGGUUGCUGCAAUGCUAGUGAGGUUCUGGCAGCAAAUGUUCUGCUUGAGACAAUGUCUGAGAGAAACAUAGCUGAUUGCCAAUCUUGGAAUAUUCUCAUUAGAUGGCUUUGUGAAGAGAUGCUCAUUCUGAAGAUGCCAUUGAAGUGUUUCACUAUAUGUCUGUAACAUCAAGCAUUCUGAAGAUGCCAUUGAAGUGUUUCACUAUAUGUCAAUGAAGAGAUGCUCUCUUCAUUCCUUGUCCUUCUACAAGUUGAUAAAAUGUCUAUGGCAAUUAGCUUAUUUCUGUGGUAUGUCAUGCUGUAUUGCUACACACACGACUAUCAUGCAUGAGCUGUCAAAAUCAAGAAGGGCAGAAGAUCUGUUAGCAUUCCUCUCACAAAUGUCGAUGGUAGGAAGCAAUCUUGAUUUGGAAGCAUAUUGUAUACUUUUUCAAAGCAUGAGUAAACAAAAUAAAGUAAAGGAAUGUGUUUUAUUUUUCAAUAUGAUGGUCCAUGAAGGUCUAAUACCUGAUCCGGACAGACUAUUUGUUCAACUGUCAUUCAUAGCCAAUCAUUCUCAGUUAUCUAUGAUUCCUAGUGCAA